UACGGGGGGGGCAAGCGUUGUUCGGAAUUACUGGGCGUAAAGGGCUCGUAGGCGGCCAACUAAGUCGGAUGUGAAAUCCCUAGGCUUAACCUGGGAACUGCAUCCGAUACUGGAUGGCUUGAAUCCGGGAGAGGGAUGCAGAAUUCCAGGUGUAGCGGUGAAAUGCGUAGAUAUCUGGAGGAAUACCGGUGGCGAAGGCGGCAUCCUGGACCGGCAUUGACGCUGAUGAGCGAAAGCCAGGGGAGCAAACGGG
rnacentral:rRNA from 1 species